rnacentral:rRNA from 1 species
GAUGAACGCUAGCUACAGGCUUAACACAUGCAAGUCGAGGGGAAACGAUAGAGAAAGCUUGCUUUUUCUAGGCGUCGACCGGCGCACGGGUGAGUAACGCGUAUCCAACCUGCCCAUCACUUGGGGAUAACCUUGCGAAAGUAAGACUAAUACCCAAUGACGUCUCUAGAAGACAUCUGAAAGAGAUUAAAGAUUUAUCGGUGAUGGAUGGGGAUGCGUCUGAUUAGCUUGUUGGCGGGGUAACGGCCCACCACGGCGACGAUCAGUAGGGGUUCUGAGAGGAAGGUCCCCCGCAUUGGAACUGAGACACGGUCCAAACUCCUACGGGAAGCAGCAGUGAGGAAUAUUGGUCAAUGGACGAGAGUCUGAACCAGCCAAGUAGCGUGCAGGAUGACGGCCCUAUGGGUUGUAAACUGCUUUUAUAAGGGAAUAAAGUGAGUCUCGUGAGACUUUUUGCAUGUACCUUAUGAAUAAGGACCGGCUAAUUCCGUGCCAGCAGCCGCGGUAA